UGUAAUGCAGUUGUAUCAUGUGCAGUUAAUGUAGGAGUGUUGAUAGAAAUUGCUUCAUUUCGUUUUGCAUCGCAUCAGUGGAAAUGCAGCUCGAACAUGCAAGGCAAGCUUUCAUCCAGAGGGACAAAGCCAGGAAGGGAACCAUUGCAGCUUUGGACUUCAGGGACAUCAUAAUCACUAUCCGGCCACACAUGUUGAAACCGUUUGUAGAGGAGUGCCUCGUAGCGGCUGCUGGAGGUACUACUUCUCAUCAGAUCAGAUUUUCCUACUUUAAUGGGUUUAAGUCUCUGCUUAACAACAUGGAGCUCAUUAGGAAGAUCUACAGUACUCUGUCUGGUACUCAA